rnacentral:lncRNA from 1 species
CUUUAUGUAUGCAGUCCUGAGAACCUAACGGAAUAUCACAUCAAUUUGUUUAUAAAACAAGUUAGUGACCCUAUUUUACCUUUUCAAAUUUUUACCAGAGGAAAAAGCUGCUGUGGUAGAGAUAACAAUACUUUGGAGUGGUGCAUGGAGUCCUUGUUACAUAUUGUUAAACUGAAAAAGAAAGUGAAGGACCGGUUUGUAUGCAGACAUGAGAAAAAUAAAUAAAUAAAUAAAUAAAUCUGUCCUGUGCUUUAAAUCCCUCUGCAAGCUUCUCUCUCAAAAUGCAGGUGAUGGCUAACAGGUCCUGAGGUUGUACAGUGUGUCUGUCACAGGUGCAGGGACUGGUAGCAGGAGAUGGUGCCCUUGUCUUUGGGCAAGGCCAAUGGUGCUUGGAAGAUGUUCCAUAGCUACAAUGUUUAAAGAUUCAGCAUCUGACUCUUCAUGUGGAAUCAGAUUUUCAAACCAAGCAAGGGUAUAUAAAAAUGCAUUAUGCACAUUUGAACGUCUGCAUGUGUGAAGCUCUCGACAGUUCUGAUCAUAAGGAUUCUAUUGAUCUAAAUGGGUUAUUCUGUAGAAAAUCCUGUGAAUAAAUAAAAUAAUGACAGAAACA